rnacentral:tRNA from 1 species
ACUACUUUGGCAGAUUAAUGUGUUAAAUUUAGAAUUUAUUUAUGUAAUUUAUAUUACAAGUAGUA